ACAGACUGUGUUCAUGUAAAACAUGCUAGGUGACGGUGAACAAACUCUCCACCUACCUAUAAUGUAUGCCAGUAUGGAUAAGAUAUAACUAUUUUUCGUGAUCGUUAAUGACCCCUAGCAUGAUGCUUAUCCACAAGUAAAACUGUUUAAUGUUAAGGCCACAAACGAUUAUACAUAUUACAUAUGACAACACAAAAUUCAUCCCCUAAAAGCAUAACAGAACAAGCAUAUUUAUACAUAUUAGAUAUACACAGAGGUCACAAAUACAAAAAGAUGAUACAUGAGGUCUAACUUAAUUACAGAAAGGUCAAACGCGAUUACAAAUAUAGUCACACAUGAUAACACAGAAGUCACACGUGAUUUCACUUAGUUAACGCAAGAUUAACCAGACCAUGCACUGUGAGACAGAAGUCACAAACUAAACACGGAAGUAGCAUACGGUAACACAGAGGUCACAAACUAAACACGGAAGUAGCAUACGGUAACACAGGGGUCACAAACUAAACACGGAAGUAGCAUUCGGUAACACAGAGGUCACAAACUAAACACGGAAGUAGCAAACGGUAACACAGAGGUCACAAACAAAACACGGAAGUAGCAUACGGUAACACAGAGGUCACAUACUAAACACGGAAGUAGCAUACGGUAACACAGAGGUCACAAACUAAACACGGAAAUAGCAUACGGUAACACAGGGGUCACAAACUAAACACAGAAGUAGCAUACGGUAACACAGGGGUCACA